CGGUAAUGCACCAUUAAGCUGGAUGCAAACCGCCGUUAAAAAAUAGGAAGAAGAAAAAGAGAGUCAGAAGAAUGGAGAGAGUUAGCUGAAAGAGUGAACCUGAAGGCGUGUGUUAAUGAAUUUAUGUGUAAAUAAAUUGCAGAAGGACAGACUCCAGGUGUAGCAGCUGAAAUCUGUGUGACUGUUAAAGAUGGAGUUUAUUAAAGAGGAGAUUGAAGACAUGAGUGAUCCAGAACCAUCCAGAAUAAAAGAUGAAGAUACCGAGGAACAAAUAGACCAGGUGGAAGUGAAACAGCAAAGAGAAGAAGAGAAUGAAGAGGAGGAGAAACAUCAUAACUUUAAAACUCAAAGAACAAACACCAAAACACUGCACACCUGCCCUCAGUGUGGAAAGAGUUUCACACAAAAAGGAAACCUUAAAACACACUUAAGAAUUCACACUGGAGAGAAACCGUAUACCUGCACUCAGUGUGGAAAGAGUUUCCAAUAUAUAGGAACCCUUAAAACGCACUUAAGGUUUCACACUGGAGAGAAACCGUAUACAUGCACUCAGUGUGGAAAGAGUUUCACACAAAAAGGACACCUUAAAACACACUUAAGGUUUCACAUUGGAGAGAAUUCGUAUACAUGCAUUCAGUGUGGAAAGAGUUUCACACAAAAAGGACACCUUAAAACACACUUAAGAAUUCACACUGGAGAGAAACCGUAUACAUGCACUCAGUGUGGGAAGAGUUUCCGAUAUAAACGAACCCUUAAAGGACACUUAAUAAUUCACACUGCAGAGAAACCGUAUACAUGCACUCAGUGUGGAAAGAGUUUCCAAUAUGAAAGAAACCUUAAAACACACUUAAGAUUUCACAAUGGAGACAAACCUUAUACAUGCACUCAGUGUGGGAAGAGUUACACAGAAAAAGGAACCCUUAAAACACACUUAAGAAUUCACAAUGGAGACAAACCAUUUAACUGUGAUCAGUGUGGAAAAAAGUUUAUUUCAUCGUCACAUCUAAAAAAUCACCUGAACGUUCAUUCAGAUAAGAAGCCUUAUGUGUGUUCUCUCUGUGGAAAGUGUUUUUCAUGGCUGAACAGUUUUAAACUGCACCAGAAAACUCAUAAUGAAGUGAGAGAUCAUGAGUGCUUUGAUUGUGGGAAGAGCUUUACUACAGCUGAGUAUCUGAAACAGCACCAAAUAGUUCAUACUGGAGAAAAACCUUACAAGUGCUCAUAUUGUGACAAGAGUUUCACUCAGCCUGGAAACCUGAAAUCACACGAGCGAGUUCAUACUGGAGAGAAGCCGUACCACUGUACUCAGUGUGAGAAGAGUUUCACAUAUUUGACUGAUCUUAAUUAUCAUCUGCGCAUUCACUCUGGAGAAAAACCAUUCAAGUGUGAUCAGUGUGGAAAAAAGUUCAUUUCAUCAUCACAUCUAAAAGAUCACCUGAAAGUUCAUUCAGAUGAGAGGCCUUAUGUGUGUUCUCUCUGUGGAAAGAGUUUUUCAUGGCUGAACAGUUUUAAACAGCACCAGAAAACACAUAAUGAAGUGAGAGAUCAUGAGUGUUUGGAAUGUGGGAAGAGCUUUACUAGAGCUGACUGUCUGAAACUGCACCAAAGAAUUCAUACUGGAGAAAAACCUUACAAGUGCUCAUAUUGUGACAAGAGUUUCGCUCAGUCUGGAACUCUGAAAAAACAUGAGCGAGUUCAUACUGGAGAGAAGCCGUACCACUGUACUCAGUGUGGAGAGAGAUUCACCCAAUCAAAUAAUCUAAUGACUCAUAUUAAAAAGCAUUGUUCUGUGUCACAGAUCCAAAUCUUUCAAGUAAAUCUUGUGAGAUACACAUAAAGUAAAUGUGUAGUUAGUUAACUAAUAAACUAGUGUUGCUGUGAAAUGCCACAUGAUUUGUGCUUAAUAUGUUGGAGAACAAGAAAAUUAAUGAAUUAUUCUUUGAAUGUUUACUCUAAGAAAUACUAACAUUAAAAGAGACUGGAAACAAAUGUAAGAAAAACAACAAUCAGUUAUUUGUCAAUAUAUUAAACAAUUUCCUCAAUUGUUCCUCAAAGCUUUUAGAUUUAAUAUGGAGUUGUUUUUUUUGUUUUUUUUAACUUCUGUUUAGUUACUUAAAACCUGUUAUUUCAUAAACAGAUUUAUUGAAAAGUCUACACAUUUCUCUGCAACAUAAAAGUUGUCUAUAAGCUCUGUACAAUAACAACAAAUAAAAUUACCAUUUUUACUGACAAUGUGUGAUUUAGUGAGCAAAAGUUAUCUACAGAUAAACUGAGAUUCAGAUAAAGCAAAUGUAUAGUGAAAUAAACUUGUUGUCUGUGACAUAUAGAUGUCAUUUAUUUAUAAAUUCACAAAUUUCUCAUGUUCACUUUAGGUUUGUGAAAGAAUAUAGCUGACUUGUGACAAAUUGCCAUCCAUAGGCUCUGUAUAGUAAAUGUUGUAAAACUGUUCUAAUUUUGAACAGUUUUGUGAAACAGAUUGUAAAACAGACAAAGAUGCUUUUCAGAAGCUCAAUUAAUGUGGUGGUACUGCUAUUUCUGUCUUUUGUUGUUUCAUAUUAUACAAACAGCCAUUGUACAUUAAUACAGGACCAUAUGCGGUUUAAUGUAGACAUAAUAAAUACAUAGGCGCCUCAUUGGCCGCUUUUUUUCUGGACAAAAAGCACAAAGUUUACAUUUCUCAACUGAUUUCAACGGUUUAUGGUCUGCGUGGAGUACAAAAAAGGUUCUGUCUCUAAUUAUUUUUAAUCUCUGUAGUUAGAAUUGUGAAAACUUGCGCUUGUCAAUAGAUUUGGUUUAUUUUUCUUGGUUAAUAAUUGUGGAGAUGUCCCUAAUGUAAUAUAAUUUAAUGUACAUGAAAUGUGCACAAUGUUGUUCAUUGUGAAAAUAGCUUUUUCUGUUUUCAACACUGUCAUUUUAGCUUUUUUCUCUUGUGCCUUUAGCUAUUUUAAGUAUCUCUGAGAAGUCCAUAAAAAGUAGACUGAAAAUAUUCUUUUUUUUAUUUUUAGUUUAAAAGAAGUAUACUACAAACCCGAUUCCAAAAAAGUUGGGACACUGUACAAAUUGUGAAUAAAAAAGGAAUGCAAUGAUGUGGAAGUUUCAAAUUUCAAUAUUUUAUUCAGAAUACAACAUAGAUGACAUAUCAAAUGUUUAAACUGAGAAAAUGUAUCAUUUUAAGGGAAAAAUAAGUUAAUUUUAAAUUUCAUGGCAUCAACACAUCUCAAAAAAGUUGGGACAAGGCCAUGUUUACCACUGUGUGGCAUCCCCUCUUCUUUUUAUAACAGUCUGCAAACGUCUGGGGACUGAGGAGACAAGUUGCUCAAGUUUAGGAAUAGGAAUGUUGUCCCAUUCUUGUCUAAUACAGGCUUCUAGUUGCUCAACUGUCUUAGGUCUUCUUUGUCGCAUCUUCCUCUUUAUGAUGCGCCAAAUGUUUUCUUUGGGUGAAAGAUCUGGACUGCAGGCUGGCCAUUUCAGUUCCCGGAUCCUUCUUCUACGCAGCCAUGAUGUUGUAAUUGAUGCAGUAUGUGGUCUGGCAUUGUCAUGUUGGAAAAUGCAAGGUCUUCCCUGAAAGAGACGAUGUCUGGAUGGGAGCAUAUGUUGUUCUAGAACUUGGAUAUACCUUUCAGCAUUGAUGGUGCCUUUCCAGAUGUGUAAGCUGCCCAUGCCACACGCACUCAUGCAACCCCAUACCAUCAGAGAUGCAGGCUUCUGAACUGAGCGCUGAUAACUUGGGUUGUCCUUGUCCUCUUUAGUCCGGAUGACAUGGCGUCCCAGUUUUCCAAAAAGAACUUCAAAUUUUGAUUCGUCUGACCACAGAACAGUUUUCCACUUUGCCACAGUCCAUUUUAAAUGAGCCUUGGCCCAGAGAAAACGCCUGCACUUCUGGAUCAUGUUUAGAUAUGGCUUCUUUUUUGACCUAUAGAGUUUUAGCCGGCAACGGCGAAUGGCACGGUGGAUUGUGUUCACCGACAAUGUUUUCUGGAAGUAUUCCUGAGCCCAUGUUGUGAGUUCCAUUACAGUAGCAUUCCUGUAUGUGAUGCAGUGCCGUCUAAGGGCCCGAAGAUCACGGGCAUCCAGUAUGGUUUUCCGGCCUUGGCCCUUACGCACAGAGAUUGUUCCAGAUUCUCUGAAUCUUUGGAUGAUAUUAUGCACUGUAGAUGAUGAUAACUUCAAACUCUGCGCAAUUUUUCUCUUAAAAACUCCUUUCUGAUAUUGCUCCACUAUUUUUCGCUGCAGCAUUGGGGGAAUUGGUGAUCCUCUGCCCAUCUUGACUUCUGAGAGACACUGCCACUCUGAGAGGCUCUUUUUAUACCCAAUCAUGUUGCCAAUUGACAUAAUAAGUUGCAAAUUGGUCCUCCAGCUGUUCCUUAUAUUUACCUUUAACUUUUCUGGCCUCUUAUUGCUACCUGUCCCAACUUUUUUGGAAUGUGUAGCUCUCAUGAAAUCCAAAAUGAGCCAAUAUUUGGCAUGACAUUUCAAAAUGUCUCACUUUCAACAUUUGAUAUGUUAUCUAUAUUCUAUUGUGAAUAAAAUAUAGGUUUAUGAGAUUUGUAAAUUAUUGCAUUCCUUUUUUAUUCACAAUUUGUACAGUGUCCCAACUUUUUUGGAAUCGGGUUUGUAAUAGCACACUUGAAUAAACGUUUUUUCGUAAGGGAAAGGAGUUUAAAGAAAAUGUAAAUAGGGUAUGAUGCUCUGAAUUGGUCUGAUUUGCUUCUCCGAAGAGUGGAAAUGAGAGUCUGGAAUUCCUUGAGGUGCUGGAUGAGGUAUCUGGACUGAAGAGUUAAAUGGCGGUAACACUACACUUUUCGUUCCAUUACUUCCAUUCAUAUGCAAAAAGUUUCGUGUUUCGCUGUGUUUUCACAUUUAAACUGAUUCAAAUUAAUUAAUAUGUUAAUUUCAGACCUGAUGGAAGUGAAAAAGCAAAGACAAGAACUGAAGUGAAAUUUCAAAGGUGAUGAUGCUGUAGUUUGUUUCAGCCUGUUCACACCAAUAAAAUGUGCUUAAUGUGCCAAUUUACAGAAUAUCUCAGACAUCACCAUAAUGAAUGAGGUGAAAACAGGGAACUUUUGGAGACAAUGAGGCUUUUCAGCAGCUCAGUUAAACACACUGGUCCUGUUUAUUUUUGUCAAACUAUCGAUACUAAUUAAACAAACCAUUUAGGAUUAUCAGGUUUUGUGUGUGAGAGAGAAUUCCAUGAGAGAUUGUCACACUUGAGUUAAGCUCCAGAUAAAUUGCAAAAAAGAGAGAGAGAGAGGGAAAUUUUGAAAGUAGAAGUUUCAACAUCUAGACAAAGCUUUUGUUGAAUUUGGACCGAUUUCUGACCUUGAACUUGGCCCAGGGAUCAGAGUCUUCAUUGAGGAUUUUGAACAAAUAAAAAUGGUGGCACUGUCUGAUGAAGAUCCCAUACAAGAUGACAACAAGGAUACGAAUAAGGAUGCCUCCCCUGGAAAACAAGUCUAAAAGAUGACAAUGAUUUCAACAACUAUAAUACCAUCUCCAAAGUCAAGAAUGAAAGACAAAUUUUCACUCCUGGAUGCAGAGGGAGUAAAAAAUAAUUAAUUAUGUUCCCUACUGAAAGACGGCAACAACACAGAACAGUUUACAAACAACAUAAAGACAGGUUGAAUAUCUGCAAAGACGCAAAGAAGAGAUGUCAAAGGAACCUCAAUAAACUAAAGAUGAACUGAGUGAACUAAAAUCAACUUUAGGAAAAAACAGACGGCAAUGGUGCAGAACACACCGAAAAAACUAAGCCGACCAACGCUCAAAAACGGCCCGACGUUGCCCAACGACUGACCAUCAUCUUGGUGUUUCCCGGACUUAAAGCGUAAUGCCAGAGCAUAAAAAUGUGGUCCUGUGGGCGUCAGUAUCACACAGUGAUCACAGUUCACACCUGCAGUAAAGCUCCUCCCACAACAAUUCACCAAUAAAUACUGGGAAUAUUCACAUCAUCCUACAAGAGAAGGACAAACUCCAGGUGUAGCAGCUGAAAUCUGUGUGACUGUUAAAGAUGGAGUUUAUUAAAGUGGAGAUUGAAGACAUGAGUGAUCCAGAACCAUCCAGAAUAAAACAUGAAGAUACUGAGGAACAAACAGACCAGAUGGAAGUGAAAGAGCAAAGAGACCAACUAUAUGAAGUUGAAGAGGAACAUUGCAACAUCAAAACUCAAAAGAGUUUUUCCUUGAAGGAAAACUGUAAACAGCAACAGAAAACACAUCAUAAAGUUAGAGAUCAUGUGUGUUUGGACUGUGGGAAGAGCUUAACUACAACUGCCCAACUGAAACGGCACCAAAGAAUUCAUACUGGAGAAAAACCUUACAAGUGCUCAUAUUGUGACAAGAGUUUCACUCAGUCUGGAUCCCUGAAAUCACAUGAGCGAGUUCAUACUGGAGAGAAGCCGUACCACUGUACUCAGUGUGAGAAGAGUUUCAAAUGUAAAACUGAUCUCAGGUAUCAUCUGCGUGUUCAUUCAGGAGAAAAACCAUACAACUGUGAUCAGUGUGGUAAAGAUUUUAAUUGGUCAUCAAAUCUAAAAAAACACCAGAUAAUUCAUACAAACGAAAGGCCUUAUGCGUGUUCAUUUUGUGGAGAGACUUAUUCACGGCUGGAAAAUUGUAAACGACACCAGAAAACACACACCGGUGAGAAAGAUCAUGUGUGUUUGGAGUGUGGAAAGAGCUUUACUAGAGCUGACCAUCUGAAACAACACCAAGUAAUUCAUACUGGAGAAAAACCUUACAAGUGCUCAUAUUGUGACAAGUGUUUCUCUAAGUUUCGACAACUACAAUUGCAUCAGCGAAUUCAUACUGGUGAGAAGCUGUUCUACUGUACUCAGUGUACUAAAUGUUAUAGAAGUUCAAAAAGCCUUCUCGGGCACAUGAAGAUAUUUCACAAGUGGUCGCAGUGAGCAACAUUUCAUUUUCAUGUCAAAUACAUUCAAGUAAAUGGUGUGAGAUGAACAAAAUAUGGUGUUGCUCCCAAAAGCAAAAUUACAUCUAGUUUAACUUUGUGGAUUUGGUGAAAUGCUGAAAAGUGUGGUGUUUCAAGCUUCAGAAAAUAAUUCUUACAGUGUCAAAAAUUAGUUGUAUAUUUCCUACUCUGUAAUAAUAGCAAAAUCUACUUGAAUAAGACAUAUGUCAUUUACUUAUUUACUAAUGUUUACCAUAUUCUUUCUGGUUGUACUAGAGUCAGUUGCUGUAGUUAAAAAAAUCAUAGAAGCUGUAAAAUGUUAAACAAUAAACAAACUGAACAUUUUCAUUUCAAUAUAAAAACACAAACUGAAUGGCUGAUAUAUUUGUUUACGAAUUAUUUCAAGCCAUUUAAAUGCAUAAUCUUGUACAGUAGUUGUCAUUCACAUUUUGACUAUUAAAAAGAGAAUGACAGAACUAACCUUUGGCACAUUAAAGAUCUGAUACUUGAUAGAUUUCUUGA